UGCAUGGUUGAGGAAAGCGUUGUUGAAAGAUGGUUUGGAUAAUGAAUGUGUGAGGUCCCUUUAAGUUCAAGGGUACUUUUUUGUCUGUAGUUGUACCAGCUGUUGAGGAAGGAAGGGGAUCAGCUAAACAUCGCGCUGAAGGAGAAUGAUUUCUUUGCUGGGCCUACAGUGCCACCUACAGCACCAAGCUUGCAGCUGAAAAUAAGUUUUAGGUGGGCCAUAUAUGGAUGUAUUUGUCAUCGUGAAUGGCAACAGGCUAAAGAGCUGACAGCCCUUGCUGUCUUGCUCUAAGGAUUUACACAAGGUGAUGCAAAGCCCUAGAAAUUCCAUCUCUCCCUGCUGCUGCUGCCUGAGAGCUGUGCUCAUAAUGCCAGGCACAAUCAAUUUAUCCAAAAAUAAGCCAGAUGUGGUUAUCAAGAAUAGAAAUCCAUGUUGUAAAUUCGUCUGUUAAAGAACAGAAUCAAGAUUCUUAUCUUCCAGAUGAAGAAUCUGGAAGGAUAAAGCCAUCUUUCUCAAAGAACAUAAAAUCACUGGAAGAAUUUUCUGUCGCUUCUUCUGAAGAAAGUUUUGAAAUCACAGGACUGGAUUUUCAGCUAA